rnacentral:rRNA from 1 species
UGGGGAAUAUCGGACAAUGGGCGAAAGCCUGAUCCAGCCAUGCCGCGUGUGUGAAGAAGGUCUUCGGAUUGUAAAGCACUUUAAGUUGGGAGGAAGGGCAUUAACCUAAUACGUUAGUGUUUUGACGUUACCGACAGAAUAAGCACCGGCUAACUCUGUGCCAGCAGCCGCGGUAAUACAGAGGGUGCAAGCGUUAAUCGGAAUUACUGGGCGUAAAGCGCGCGUAGGUGGUUUGUUAAGUUGGAUGUGAAAGCCCCGGGCUCAACCUGGGAACUGCAUUCAAAACUGACUGACUAGAGUAUGGUAGAGGGUGGUGGAAUUUCCUGUGUAGCGGUGAAAUGCGUAGAUAUAGGAAGGAACACCAGUGGCGAAGGCGACCACCUGGACUAAUACUGACACUGAGGUGCGAAAGCGUGGGGAGCAAACA